rnacentral:misc_RNA from 1 species
UUGAUCUGAAGUGAGAAGUUUCCAGUUCCGGGGUCAGCUGCUGAUCUCCAAGAUAUCAGGAACCGGUUCAUGCCUGUCCUUCGGUCCAACCCAAGUUUCAUUCCUGGCAGCAUAGUAUCCGUAGGAUGAUCAAAGCUUUCCCACACGGUACUUUUACUUCUAUCGUGGAACAAAACCAAAUUUCCUGUAUCCAAGAGCUGAGCUA